UCACAAACAUAUAAACAUAUGUUCUUUAGGAGGAUUAUUCAAUCGAAUUGAGUUGAGGGAGUUAUAUUCUGAAUCUGAAACAUCAGAAGAACAAGGUUGUUGAGACUUGAGAGAGAGAGCAAUGAGUACAGUUCAGCACACGGCCCAUAUCCACCAUGGGCCACAUCCUCCACCACCAGUGUUUGCACUACCCCAACCGUCGCCGCAGCCACCACCCCAUCGUCCUCCUGGUCGGGCUCCAUACCAACCUCACGGUGGUGGCAGUCCCACCAACUAUCAAAAUUACUUUAAUCCGUACCCCCCUCGACUACCUCAACACGUCCUCCUCCUACAGGACGACUCUCGCUCUCCAUUUCAGAAUAAAGCCUGUUUCUAUGGUGUGCUUGCUCUCUGUUGCUGCUUUGUGUUGUUUCUGAUUUAUGAGUUGCUGAGCUGAUCACGUAUAAACAAGAAUUGUUUAUUGAUAAAGAUUUGGAUGCAAUGUACUAUUAAUAACAACGUCUUUGUUUUUGGUGUUUAUCCAAUUUUAUAUCGGGACCUCAACUUUAAGAUUGAGUUUGGAUUUAGAAUUUAGAAAUUUAAGAAGGUUAAAAAAAAAAAAAAAAAAA